GGGGAAUCCGGUGCGAAUCCGGAGCUGACGCGCAACGGUGUCGAGACGGCGGGGGCCGUCUCCGAGCCCGAAUGCCC
rnacentral:ncRNA from 2 species